rnacentral:rRNA from 1 species
CCCCUAGAUGUUCUGGGCCGCACGCGCGCUACACUGAACAGUUCAACAAGUCUUAACCUUGGCCGAUAGGUCUGGGUAAUCUUUGAACGCUGCUCGUGAUUGGGAUAGACCUUUGCAAUUAUGGGUCUUCAACGAGGAAUUCCUAGUAAACGCAAGUCAUCAGCUUGCAUUGAUUACGUCCCUGCCCUUUGUACACACCGCCCGUCGCACCUACCGAUUGAAUGGUCCGGUGAAAUCUCGGGACGGCGGCUUGGUCGCUUGCGUCCGACUGCUGAAACUUGAUUAAACCAUAUCAUUUAGAGGAAGGUGAAGUCGUAACA